rnacentral:rRNA from 1 species
AUGAAGCAGGGGCCCCGCAUGGGGAUAUUUGCUAAAGAUUCAUCGCUGAUAGAUAGGCAUGCGUUCCAUUAGGCAGUUGGCGGGGUAACGGCCCACCAAACCGACGAUGGAUAGGGGUUCUGAGAGGAAGGUCCCCCACAUUGGUACUGAGACACGGACCAAACUCCUACGGGAGGCAGCAGUGAGGAAUAUUGGUCAAUGGGCGUAAGCCUGAACCAGCCAAGUCGCGUGAGGGAUGAAGGUUCUAUGGAUCGUAAACCUCUUUUAUAAGGGAAUAAAGUGCGGGACGUGUCCCGUUUUGUAUGUACCUUAUGAAUAAGGAUCGGCUAACUCCGUGCCAGCAGCCGCGGUAAUACGGAGGAUCCGAGCGUUAUCCGGAUUUAUUGGGUUUAAAGGGUGCGUAGGCGGCCUUUUAAGUCAGCGGUGAAAGUCUGUGGCUCAACCAUAGAAUUGCCGUUGAAACUGGGAGGCUUGAGUAUGUUUGAGGCAGGCGGAAUGCGUGGUGUAGCGGUGAAAUGCUUAGAUAUCACGCAGAACCCCGAUUGCGAAGGCAGCCUGCCAAGCCAUGACUGACGCUGAUGCACGAAAGCGUGGGGAUCAAACAGGAUUAGAUACCCCGGUAGUCCACGCAGUAAACGAUGAUCACUAGCUGUUUGCGAUACAGUGUAAGCGGCACAGCGAAAGCGUUAAGUGAUCCACCUGGGGAGUACGCCGGCAACGGUGAAACUCAAAGGAAUUGACGGGGGCCCGCACAAGCGGAGGAACAUGUGGUUUAAUUCGAUGAUACGCGAGGAACCUUACCCGGGUUUGAACGCAUUCGGACCGAGGUGGAAACACCUUUUCUAGCAAUAGCCGUUUGCGAGGUGCUGCAUGGUUGUCGUCAGCUCGUGCCGUGAGGUGUCGGCUUAAGUGCCAUAACGAGCGCAACCCUUGCCACUAGUUACAAACAGGUGAUGCUGAGGACUCUGGUGGGACUGCCAGCGUAAGCUGCGAGGAAGGCGGGGAUGACGUCAAAUCAGCACGGCCCUUACAUCCGGGGCGACACACGUGUUACAAUGGCGUGGACAAAGGGAUGCCACCUGGCGACAGGGAGCGAAUCCCCAAACCACGUCUCAGUUCGGAUCGGAGUCUGCAACCCGACUCCGUGAAGCUGGAUUCGCUAGUAAUCGCGCAUCAGCCAUGGCGCGGUGAAUACGUUCCCGGGCCUUGCACA